CAGGCCUAACACAUGCAAGUCGAACGGAGUUUUGAUGUGAGCGAGAGGUAGCUUGCUAUUAAUCAAUCUUUUCAAAACUUAGUGGCGGACGGGUGAGUAACGCGUGGGUAACCUGCCCUGUACAGGGGGAUAACAGUUGGAAACGACUGCUAACACCGCAUAACAUCGCGAGGGCGCAUGACCUUGCGAUCAAAUAUUUAUAGGUACAGGAUGGGCCCGCGUCUGAUUAGCUAGAUGGUGAGGUAACGGCCCACCAUGGCGACGAUCAGUAGCCGUACUGAGAGGUAGAACGGCCACAUUGGGACUGAGACACGGCCCAAACUCCUACGGGAGGCAGCAGUGAGGAAUAUUGGUCAAUGGGCGAGAGCCUGAACCAGCCAAGUAGCGUGCAGGAUGACGGCCCUAUGGGUUGUAAACUGCUUUUGUACGGGAAUAAAGUGACCUACGUGUAGGUUUUUGCAUGUACCGUAAGAAUAAGGACCGGCUAAUUCCGUGCCAGCAGCCGCGGUAAUACGGAAGGUCCGGGCGUUAUCCGGAUUUAUUGGGUUUAAAGGGAGCGUAGGCCGUUCCUUAAGCGUGUUGUGAAAUGUAGGCGCCCAAHGUCUGCACUGCAGCGCGAACUGGGGAACUUGAGUACGCAGGAAGCAGGCGGAAUUCGUCGUGUAGCGGUGAAAUGCUUAGAUAUGACGAAGAACUCCGAUUGGGAAGCCAGCCUGCUGUAGCGCCACUGACGCUGAUGCUCGAAAGCGUGGGUAUCGAACAGGAUUAGAUACCCUGGUAGUCCACGCGGUAAACGAUGGAUGCUCGCUGUGUGCCUUUGAGGUACGUGGCCAAGGGAAACCAUUAAGCAUCCCACCUGGGGAGUACGCCGGCAACGGUGAAACUCAAAGGAAUUGACGGGGGCCCGCACAAGCGGAGGAACAUGUGGUUUAAUUCGAUGAUACGCGAGGAACCUUACCCGGGCUUGAACUGCCAGCGAACGAUACAGAGAUGUUGAGGCCCUUCGGGGCGCUGGUGGAGGUGCUGCAUGGUUGUCGUCAGCUCGUGCCGUGAGGUGUCGGCUUAAGUGCCAUAACGAGCGCAACCCCUUUCGUUAGUUGCCAUCAGGUAAAGCUGGGCACUCUGGCGAUACUGCCACCGUAAGGUGUGAGGAAGGUGGGGAUGACGUCAAAUCAGCACGGCCCUUACGUCCGGGGCUACACACGUGUUACAAUGGCGCAUACAGAGAGUCGGUUGCAUGUAAAUGUGAUCUAAUCAAUAAAGUGCGUCGUAGUUCGGACUGGGGUCUGCAACCCGACCCCACGAAGCUGGAUUCGCUAGUAAUCGCGCAUCAGCCAUGGCGCGGUGAAUACGUUCCCGG
rnacentral:rRNA from 1 species